rnacentral:tRNA from 1 species
UGGGGAGUGGUGUAGCUGGCAACACUCGGCACUUUGGAUGCCGCAUCCCCGGUUCAAGCCCGGGCUCCCCAG